rnacentral:rRNA from 1 species
CCUACGGGAGGCUGCAGUGAGGAAUAUUGGUCAAUGGGCGAGAGCCUGAACCAGCCAAGUCGCGUGAGGGAGUACUGCCCUAUGGGUUGUAAACCUCUUUUGUCGGGGAGCAAAAGCCGGACGUGUCCGGCUGUGAGAGUACCCGAAGAAAAAGCAUCGGCUAACUCCGUGCCAGCAGCCGCGGUAAUACGGAGGAUGCGAGCGUUAUCCGGAUUUAUUGGGUUUAAAGGGUGCGCAGGCGGAUUUUUAAGGUGGCGGUAAAAUCGUGGGGCUCAACCCCAUCCAGCCGUUGAAACUGGGGAUCUAGAGUGUGCGAGAGGUAUGCGGAAUGCGUGGUGUAGCGGUGAAAUGCAUAGAUAUCACGCAGAACCCCGAUUGCGAAGGCAGCAUACCGGUGCACAACUGACGCUCAGGCACGAAAGCGUGGGUAUCGAACAGGAUUAGAUACCCUAGUAGUC